UACGUAGGCAGCAAGCGUUGUUCGGAGUUACUGGGCGUAAAGGGUGUGUAGGCGGUUGUUUAAGUUUGGUGUGAAAUCUCCCGGCUCAACUGGGAGGGUGCGCCGAAUACUGAUUGACUUCGAGUGCGGGAGAGGAGAGUGGAAUUCCUGGUGUAGCGGUGAAAUGCGUAGAUAUCAGGAGGAACACCGGUGGUGUAGACGGCUCUCUGGACCGUAACUGACGCUGAGACACGAAAGCGUGGGUAGCAAACAGG
rnacentral:rRNA from 1 species